AAAUCAUAUGACUCAUGAAUAUGGUGAUUAUGAUAACAUAAGGGAAAAAAAUGAUGUUACCUUAUUAUUAGUGUUGUCCAAAACUGGUGCCAGAAGACUCGGUAAGACCAGAGACGCAAACGUUAGUCAUCUUAAUCAGGCGUAAAGGGUGUGUAGGCUGCUUUAAAAGUUUAUUUUUUUUAAUAGCUCUGUUACCGUAAUACUCUCUAAUUUUUAUAAAAAAAAAGAGUAUAUAAAAUUUAUAAUUAAAUAAAUGAUAAUUAAAGCAUAUCCGAGUAUCAGAAAAAAAAUAAAUGAAUUAAAGCUAGAAUCAAAUUGAGGAUAAACCAAAUAAUACUUAGAGUAGGGGUUAAAUCCACAGAUACUAAGGGGAAUACUAAAGGUGAAGACUUUUUAUCUACUAUUGAUUGACGCUGAGAAACGAAGGUGAGAAUAGGAAAUAGGAUUUGAUACCCAGAUACCUCUCACUGUCAACGAUGAAUGGUGGUUGUUAGUUUUAGAAAAAACUGGUAACGAUGUUAACACGAUAACCAUUCCGCCUUGCGAGUACGGUUGCAAAACUGAAACCAAAAAAAUUAGUCGGUUUCGAAGCAAACGAAGUGAGCAUGUUAUUUAAUAUGAGAUACGCAUAAAACCUUACCAGUUCUUGCAUAGCCAAUUUUGUUAUUAGAAUUUUUUUAUUCUAAUAUCUUUUAAAUAAGAAAGACAGAAUUGAGUAAUUUUUAUAAAUUUUAAAAAUUCGUUUACAGGUGUUGCAUGGCUGUCGUCAA
rnacentral:rRNA from 1 species